AAAGUAUAACUUGUGCAUGGCUUAAUGAACAUUAAAUUUUCUUAUACAAGUAAAUAAAUCGAUAAUAAGUUACUUAAACAAAAACAUUUCCUAGGCAAAGAAACGAGUAUAAACUGGACAAUGUUGGCUAGUCUCCUUUUACCAUAAAAGAAUAAACAUGUAAUAUUUUCUUGAGUUUUACAUAAAUAAGGGAUAAAACAUAACCAAGUUGUGAACCAUUUCAAGAACUUCGCUCUGACGUCGCCACAUCCUACUGUAGCAAAAGACCCUGAAAAUGCACGAACCUGAAAGGUUGUAUGUCAUAAAUCUACUAUUGCAGAUCGAAAUGGGAAUUGAAAUAAUACCCUGUUGUGAAGGACAGUAGCUUUUGGUCAAAGGACAGCCAUGAUUCUUCUGGAGUUACCUGCAAGAGUUAACAAGCAAAAUCAUGACCAACUAAAUGACGAGUAGCUGAUGGAAGGAUUUAAACAAUCCACUUAUGAAGGAUGCAAUCAAACGAUUAUAGGAGAAGGAGAAAAGAAAGUGAAGAAGAGAAAGGACGGGGAAAAGGGAACCAAGUAAAAUUUAUAGAAUAAUCAAAUGAAAUGGCACUACAACAGAAUAGGCUUUUUACAAUAAAAAUCUCUUUCCGUACAAAGCAACGCCGUAAAAAAAAUUACAUUUUACGGCGUGCAAUACACGCCGUCCACGACUGCCGUUUUUUAAUCUUUUACGGCGUGCAGACACACGCCGUAAAAGAUAUUUCAUUCACGGCGUGCAUUGCACACUGUUUAUAAAUGCCAUUUUCCAUCUUUUAUGGCGUGCAGACGCACGCCGUAAAAGAUAUUUCAUUCACGGUGUGCAAAAAGCAUGCCAUAAAAGAUAAUUUAUUCACGGCAUGCAAAUAGCACGCCUUGCACGCCGUAUAGUUACUUUUUACGGCGUGCAUAAGUAAAUAUUAAUAUAAUUUUUAAAAGAAUUGUCUAUUUAUGUAAUUACCAGCACACCUAAAAAUGAUUACAAAACAAAAUUCUAUAUACAUGAGGAAGUGCAGAACAUGAGGAGAAAAAAAUUAAACAAGAGCUACAUUCAAAUCAUUACGAAGAAUCAUUUCAUAACGUAAAGAGAAACUUAUACAAGUACUUUGAAAUAUGAACUAAAGAAAAAUUGCAAUAAUUUCUAAACAUAACAUCAUAACUCAUAGGAAAUUAAUACAAUUUCAAGACUCUAAAUUUUAAACACUUGAACACACACACGCAAAAAAAGAAGAAGGUUAAUUUAGUUAUAAGAUCUUUCCAUCAAUCCACGGCAUAUAGCACCACCAAUUACCAUCAUCCAUCUAGUUCGUAUUAAUCUGUAAUAAAAAGUGUCAUAUCGAAUCAACCAACCAUCAACUUCUUGAUUUUAAAAUUGGUUGAAUCUUCUGUUUCUCAUGGUCCAAUAGUUCUUACCUUGAUUUCCUUAGCCUUUGGAAGUCUAAUUAGAGUCAUAUAUGGCAGGAAUUUCAGGUGGAGCCAUUGCUGGAAUAUCAAUUGGAGCAGUUGCAGGAGUAAUAUUUUUGGUAGUCUGCAUCUAUUUUAUAUUCUACAAAAGGAAGAAGGUGAUGGAAGAAUCUAUUCUCAAUGACCAUGGCAUAGAGAAUACACCCGGUAAUUGGCAUGUUUAGCAUAUGACAGGAGAAUCAUCUUUCUUUUCAAAACCAAAGAAAUCAAGAAACUAAGAAACUUUAAAUGCCGUUUAGACCCAGUAAACGAAUUCAAACGGCUAAAAUACAUCAUACAUCACAGCAAAGCCAUGAGUUCAUCCAGAGUCAACGCGAGCUUUCCAGAAUAGGGUUAUGGGCCCAAAACGGAUAACGUAUGCAAAAGUUACAACCAAUUUCUUCUCCCUCCCUCUCACACACGCACCUAUCCCAACUCAAUCCUGUGUUUAGAUUACGUACUGUGACUCUCUAUUUUACACCUCAAUGUGAAGUAAAAAUAAUAGAAGUUACAAAUAGCAAAGUGCACCGGACCAACACGUUACAACACAAUUUCUUUAAUGGGGCUGAACAGUACCAGUAGGUUGGGACAUUCACUUAUAGUUCCAUUUUGUGUCUCUUCCUGGUUACAUAGGACAUACGAUAUUUGUCACUACAACAAAAUGUACUUUCAAUCCCCUCUUUAAUUAUUUGGAUCUUAACGCCUUAACUAUAGGAUAUUUUCUGCUUAUCCAGAUAAUACCAGUAAUGCUAGAAACAUGAGGAAGAAGGAAAGCUGAUUUUCAGCUAUCAAAAAGGAUUUUACAUUCAACUCAAAGGAGAAGCCAAACAACAUAAGUUCAUUGUCUCAAAUCCAUGGUGAAGUGCUUAUUUCUAAGCCCAAAUCCAACGUAAGGCUUUCUCGAUACUACAACUUGCACUCAGCAAUAUCAAAGUUAUGAAGUAAUGUCACGGCUCAUAAUAUAGCAAAUCAUAAACCCCAAAUCACAAAUUCACAAAUUGCAACAUUACAUCCAUAAAUUCACCUAUCAAUAUAUAUAAUAAAUCACAAAUAAUCAAUCUGUUAAUCUGUAAUCACCAUCCAUAAAUGAACUCAAAGAUGAGGGAAAAAAAAAGAGAAGAGAGGGCUCACAAGUCACAUGCACCAGCGACACUCAAGCGGACACACGGUGGUGGAGACCCUUACAAAUGGACGGCGACUACUGGAGUUGAGAAAGCCAAAUGGGAUUUGGGAAAAAACAAGAUAAAAGGGAGGGAGAGCACAGGAUUGAAGGUGGGCUCACAGCUGGGGGCUAAUUGAAAGGUUGACGGCCGAUUGAAGGCAUGGUAAUUGGUAGAGAACGACGCGAAAGGAACAAAGACGCCGUCCCCUGUUUCGUAAAACUAAAGACAAUUGGGACAAAACGA
rnacentral:lncRNA from 1 species